rnacentral:tRNA from 1 species
GCCCCGAUUGGCUAGCGGCUAGGACGCGGCCCUUUCAAGGCCGAAGCGGGGGUUCGAUUCCCCUUGGGGGCA